UUCGGUGGUAAAAUGCUGGCCUGCCACGCGGGCGGCCCGGGUUCGAUUCCCGGCCGAUGCA
rnacentral:tRNA from 1 species